CAUGCAUGUACUGUGGAUUGUCUACUU
rnacentral:sRNA from 1 species